rnacentral:lncRNA from 1 species
ACCGUACAGUUAAUCCCUUUCUCUCAUGCCCUGUGUGAGGGAACUGCUCUGGUUUUAUCUCCAGUGGACGAAUCUGGAAGUCUGGAGUUGCUUCACUGGAGGGCUUCUUUGCCAGGCUGAGGCUGGGAGGGGUGGAGAGUUCAUGGGAGAAUCGUGCAUGUUGGCUGCUCUGCCUUCCAGGAGACUUCAGAGAUAGAGAUGGGGCUUAGGAUGGGUUGCGUGCCUCACAGCUUGCUGCUCUGGUUAGUGAGAUGCUACAGUUCCACUGAUGUAAGCAGCAGCCAGAUCUCUACUCCAAGUCGGAUGCUUGCCUGGCUUUUGGGGUCCAGUUUCAAUGCUCUGCUCAGAACCUCUGCUCUUUCCCCCCUCUUAGGCCCUCCUUGCUUGGCCCUGCCCUGGGUGGGCUUCUGAGGACCAAGCAGAGCCUGGGGACAGGACAGGAAGGCUGUCAGGUACGUGGAGGGAGAGUCAGGGGUUCCUCCCUAAAGAGGACUCAGAAUGGGACAGAGAUCCCUGAAUGGAGGCUUUUUGCUGCCUGCAGUUCAGACUUUGGCCUCCUUGCCUCCCAGCUUCGGGGAUUGGUUUUAUCCCACACUCACUCUGUAAAAAACUUGGCCUGUCCUUCCUUGGGACUUGGAAAUCCCCGAGACCCUUGGCCCCAGCACCUCCAUCCUCAGAGUGGCGCUGGCUGGUCAGUGUCAGACCAAAGCCUGGUGGGGUUGAUGAGAACAGGGCCUGGAGGAGAAAAGAGAGCACCCAGAAGAAAGAGGCUUUGGACUCUCUCUUGGGAAAUGGGCCUAAAGGGAUGGGAAAGGAAAGUGGCUCCUGAUUCAUCCCCUAAGACAGCUCCCUGUGGGUUGGCUCAGCCAAAGAAGAUUCUUAGACACUGCCUGGGCUCUGGGGAGUUGUCUGAGCCAGAUACCCACAGAACAAUGAUUUCGAGACUUGAUGGAACCUCUACCCACUUCCCCUUCCAAGGAUCCUCCAACUGGUUGGGUGGGUCAGGUCUUUUAGUGAAACCAGCUGUGGUGUAGCUCUUCCCAUCAUGGUUGGCAAAUGAGCCAGACUGAGUGGCCCUGUUCUCACUGUAGGCUCUGUUGCUUCCAGAAGGUCAUGUUGCUUGCCCCUCUGCUCCCUGAGCCCCACCAGAGGCAGGGGCCCUGCUUAUAGCUCACCUCAUUUUACCUAUAUUGCGCCCUGUUGCUUCUGCCUGUUCACUUAUCCGGCACCUUUAUGAGUCAUGGUUCCUGUCUGGUCACCUCUGAGUCCCCAGCACCUCUCAGGUCAUGUCUGGAAGAUUAAUGUGUGGGUCCCCCAACGGUGACCAUGAAGUUGCAGAUGGGCCAGGGCCUUGGGGAGAGGGGCUGGUAAGGGAGCUCAAGGAGGGGCCAGAGACCAGGCAGGCUAGGUGUCCUGAGGCAGCCAGAGUGAGCCGGGUGGACCAGUCUGGGGCCCUUUCUGUCUCCGACUCAGCCUUCCCCACCUCCCACACUGACUCAGCCACGAGACCAAACUGUGCGAACAAAUGGUCCUGAUGGUCCAGGGGCCAGGACGGAAUCCCCCCAGACAGGCUGGCCAAAGGGUCCCUGUCCCUGACUUCCUCAGUCGGCAGGGAGCCACAGGGUAGCUGAGGGGGCGGAGGGGAGAGGCUGGGGGCAGGGCUACCACCGGGGGCGUGGCCGAGGGGAGAGGUGCUGAGGGCAGGGGAGCCAGGCCUGGUUGGCCUUUGAAGGGCAGGCCUUCCUGGGGUGGACACUUUAAUCGCCCCCAAUUAAACCAUUGCCGGAAGCUUUUAACAGCCCCAUACGGCCUUUCAAGGACUGUCCUUUUGUUAGACAGCCAAGCUGUUAUGCAAAAAGAGAGCGGGCUGGGGGCCUCUGACCACUCACCCCAGGCCCCAAGGCCAGCCUGCCCCAAACUCCGGGCCAGCCUCUAAAGAGUCUGCUUGUUUGCGAAUCAAAGGCUGGGGAACCAGCUUUGAUCUGGGGAAACCCAGCCCUUCCCCGCCUUUCCAGCCUCAGUCCCCUCUCUGAGGGGGGUGGGGUGGGGGGAGCCUUUGACUAGGCCUUCACCCCCAUACAUUCUGGGUCUGGGGCCAACCAGGCUGAUCCCUGGGGUCCUGGGAGCCUGUCCCUUCCUUCAAGAAACGGGUCUGCUGGGACAGUAAGAACUUUCCGUGCUCCCCCUGCCCCCCCCUCAGGCAAGGAAGCCCUGGCCCCACCUCCUAUAGCUGCCCAGCGGUCUUCUAGGCCUUUUGACAGAGUGGAGGAGUCCUCAGAGGGGUGCCGCCUGGGACUCUGUGCGAAAUGCAGAUUCUCAGGCCCCAACCCUGACCCGGGAGGCGAAGUCUGAAAACUACUGCUGUAGCACUUCGAGUAUUUCUCCUCCUCUCGGCCUCUCCUCUCCCACUUCCCCUCAACAAAAAAAGGCAAGAUUAGUGUAGAAGUAACAUUAGCCAUAAUAAGUUAUGGACAACAUAACUCUCUGCUUGCUAAACCCUCUAUAGCAUAUCAUUUCUAAAAAGUGAACAACAAAGCCAGGGAUCGAACCCACAACCUCACGGUUCCUAGUCGGGGUCGUUUCCGCUGUGCCACGACGGGAACUUCUGGUGCACAUCUUUAGUACCUGGAAGUCCAAAGGGGGCUAAAAUCUAUUUUGUUUUCCCUCUGAGAUCCUACAGUGGGCUCAGCACCCAGAGAAAGACAGCAGCCUGUCAAGGCAGGCAGGGUGUUCAGAACUCCGUGGAGCUGUGGCUCAUCAAUGGUGCCUUUCGGAGCAGGGGUCGGCAAAGGUCUUCUGUGAAGGGCCAAAUGGGAACCCUUGUAGGCUGGUCCCUGUCACUACGACUCAGCUCUGCCACUGUAGUUCACGAAAAAGCCAUCAAAGAGAUCUAAAUGAAUGGGUGUUGGUGUGCGCCAAGAAAACUUUAUUAAGGGAGUUCCCUGGUGGUCUAGUGGUUAGGACUCAGUGCUUUUACCGCUGCAGCCUGGGUUCAAUCCCUGGUCUGGGAACUGAGAUCCCACAUCAAGCUGCUGCAUGCCAUGAUGAAAACAACCACCACACCACCAUGUCCAAUAAAACGUUAUUAAUGGACACUGAAAUGUUAGUUUCCUGUGAUUUUCACAUGUGCCAAAAUCUUAUGUUUCUUUUGAUCCCCCCCCCGCCCCCGGUCAUGUGAAAACCAUUUUUAGCUCUCAAGCUGUAGAAAAACAGAUAGUGGGCAGAAUUUGGCCUUCAGGCCCGUAUAGUUUGCUGGCACCUGGUUUAGAGCAAAGGUUUUGAGGUCGGUUGUCAGUCUUGAAUUUAAGUCUCGGUUAUUUCACUAACCAGCUAGGUAAUCUGGGGGACGUUACGGAACCUCGCUGAGCCUGUGUCUUCCCUUUCAAUGGGGUUGCCUCGUCUGUCUUUCAGGGAGUGGGCAUGUGGGAGCACUUACCAGCCUCGGUGACUGACAGGAGGCAGGAACGCCCUAAAUGUGAGCCUAGAGCUUUGCAGCAGGCUGGUUGGAGGUCAGUGCGAGCGGGCUAUGAGGCUGGAGAGGUCAGGAGACCCUUCCGGGAGGGAGGAAGUCUGGGGUAAGUUGGGCCUUGAGUGCCUUGAGAGGUGCAGCGAUAGAGGAGGGGAAAGAUGGAGAGGUCAGGCCAAAGAAAUUCUCCUUAACGUCAUUAAAAAGUCUACAAACAAAUGCUGGAGAGGGUGGGGAGAAAAGGCAAUCCUUCUACACUGCUGGCAGGAAUGUAAAUUGGUGUGGCCACUAUAGAGAACAGGACGGAGGGUUCCUUAAAACACUAAAAAUAACAUUGCCAUAGGAUCUAGCAAUCCCACUCCUGGACAUAUAUCCAGAAAAUGCUAAUUUGAAAUGAUACAUGCAUCUCAAUGUUCACUGCAGCACUAUUUACAAUAGCCAAGACAUGGAAGCAACCUCCAUGUCCACCAACAGGGGACUGGACAGAGAAGAUGUAAUAUAUCUGUAUAUAUCACAUAAUAUAUUUGCAGCAACAUGAGUGGACCUAGACAUUAUCAUACUAAGUGGAGUAAGUCAGAAAGAGAAAGACAAAUACUAUUGAUAUCACUUAUUUGUAGGAUCUAAAAUAUGACACAAAUGAACCUGUUUACCAAAUGGAAACAAAUUCACAGACAGGAAACAAACUUACAGUAACCAAAGGGGAAAGGGGAUGAGGGAGGGAGAUAUUAGGAGUUUGAGAUAAUAUAUAACUUGGAUACACAACAGAGUCCUACUGUAUAGCACAGGGAACUAUACUCAAUAUCCUGUAAUAAACCGUAGCGGAAAAUAAUAUCAAAAA